rnacentral:rRNA from 1 species
GACGGGACCCGCACAAGCGGUGGACGAUUAGUUGGUUUAAUUCGAUGCAACGCGAAAACCUUACCCACCUUUGACAUGUACGGAAUCCUUUAGAGAUAGAGGAGUGCUCGAAAGAGAGCCGUAACACAGGUGCUGCAUGGCUGUCGUCAGCUCGUGUCGUGAGAUGUUGGGUUAAGUCCCGCAACGAGCGCAACCCUUGUCAUUAGUUGCUACAUUCAGUUGGGCACUCUAAUGAGACUGCCGGUGACAAACCGGAGGAAGGUGGGGAUGACGUCAAGUCCUCAUGGCCCUUAUAGGUGGGGCUACACACGUCAUACAAUGGAUGGCACAAAGGGUCGCCAACCCGCGAGGGGGAGCCAAUCCCAUAAAGCCAUUCGUAGUCCGGAUCGCAGUCUGCAACUCGACUGCGUGAAGUCGGAAUCGCUAGUAAUCGUGGAUCAGAAUGUCACGGUGAAUACGUUCCCGGGUCUU